GAGCUAGCUUUUGAGGUGGAGUUAUGCAGAUUCAUAUCAUUUAGUAUUGGAGCCUCACUCUACACGAGUCGGUGGACCAUGUACAAAGGUUCCUUGACGUUCUUUGAGAGAGGUCGGGUGAAAGAGUCAUGGCCCCGGUUACUUCACCAGAACGUUCAAUCCAAAGAGGUCGGGAAUGAUGCGUCCUACAUCGGCUUUGCAGGUAAGUAUUGAGUGUUAUAGAUAUGGGUUUGCAAACCUCCUAUUGUGAGCUAGCUUUUGAGGUCGAGUUAGGCAGGUUUGUAUCAUAAUCACACAUCAAAGAGUUCAAGCGAUUAAAUUCUCUCCAAUUUGCCUCACAGUUGCUAACCCAUAAACUAAAUGCCAAUAUGUAAUCAUGCUUAUAUUGUUAAAUAAUUAUUGGAACCUGACAAAAUAUUAAAUAUAAUUCUUGUUUUCUACUCCAGUUUCAAAGAACUUAGUUAUGCUUGUUUUUAAGUAAUAAGGUAAGUGCAUCAUUUUAGAUAAUUUGAAAUUUUGCUAAGAUACAAAAGCCUCUCCACUAGAAUCUUAGGGUAGUUGCAAUAUAUGAACUUCAGUGUUUAUCCAUAUAAAAUCAGAUUAAAUACUCAUUCUUGGAUAUAUAAAACCCUCAACUGUAGUUUUCCCUAUUCCAAACUAACCUCAUAAUAACCUUUUGUAGUUUUAUGUAAUUUAAUUCCUGAAUGCUGCAGAAUGGUUUAGGUCCGCCCUGACAACAACUGGAAAAUCAGAAUAACAAACUCCCAUACCUGUCAUCCUUAAAAUAUUUAAACUUAGGUCCUUGAGUAAUGUUGCAAUUUGCUACUAUCUCAACAAUCUGCAAUUAGGAUUGGAGUCAGUGCUGAUAAAUAUUUUCAUAAUUUAUUCUCUUAAUUAUUUUUCUUUUCUAUAGGAGAUUUCAUAACUAAUGAAAUGAAGAAUUGCCAGGUAUUGGUUGAACUUCAGAUAGCACAGCACUUUCUUUCUAUCAAAUGGCAAGAGGACUAGAUAAGGUAACAGCAGAUUGGGAUUUCUAAUUUCCAAAACUAAAUUUGCCCCAGUUAACAGAAAGAAAAAUAUGCACAAAUGUUUUUUCAGGUCCCUAUUCUGUUUCUAACUGAAAUAGGAUGGUAAAGUCACUAAAGCAUUCAUUGUAAUUGAGCAACAAAACUUCUAAAUUCCUUCUCUGAAAAAUUUGCUGCUACUGAUGCAAGAGUAAAGCUAUGUGCCUUCAUUUACUAGCAUACACAUAAAAACAUUUAGCCAGUCACACACAUUAAUAAUUAUUUUCUCCUAAAGAAUAUAUAUUAUUGUGUCAUUAGAUGAUUUAUUGUGCCAAUCAUCAUGGUCUUUUAAUUUUAUCAUUUUUCAUGACAUCUUCAUCAAUUUUGAUUCCUUUCACUUCUUGAAUAAAGUUAGAUCAAACAAUUUUAAGAAUAUAAAAUAAGAUUAUUCAUGAAAUUUAACAUUGUCCUCAUUUUUCUUCAAUUAAAUUAGUGUUUAGAGAAUGUCAUUUGAAAAAAAAAAUGUUAUAAUCAGCUUCCAUCAAUAAAAUUUUCUAGAUGAGUGCCAAAUCCUCCUACCCCUCUCUUUUUAAUGCAAUAACAAAGAAUUCAGAAUCCAACCAAGAACUAAACCUCCCCACUUGUGAUUGCAUAGAAGCACAUACACAGAAUUAUUUUUCGAAUGAAACAUGGUAUGCAAACAAUAGAAGGUUGCGUAACAGGAAGCCACACAGAAUAAAUUAAUAAUAAUAAUAUAACAACAGCUU
rnacentral:misc_RNA from 1 species